UACGUAGGGUGCAAGCGUUGUCCGGAAUUAUUGGGCGUAAAGAGCUCGUAGGCGGUUCGUCGCGUCGGCUGUGAAAAUCCCGAGGCUCAACCUCGGGUCUGCAGUCGAUACGGGGCGGACUGGAGUUCGGCAGGGGAGACUGGAAUUCCUGGUGUAGCGGUGAAAUGCGUAGAUAUCUGGAGGAACACCGGUGGCGAAGGCGGCAUCCUGGACCG
rnacentral:rRNA from 1 species